UACGUAACCUCUAAGUGGUUUCCACUUGUAUUGGGCCUAAAACACCUGUAGCCUGUGCAGACAGUUCUUGGUGAAAUCUGACCGCUCAACGGUUAGAAUUGCUAAGAAUACUACUGUGCUUGGGGAAGGAAGACGUAAAGAGAAUUUUUGGGGUAGCGGUGAAAUGUGAUGAUCCCAAAAAGACUACCAGUAGCGAAGGCGCUUUACGAGGACUAUCCCGACGGUGAGAGAUGAAAGCUGGGGGAGCGACCAGGAUUAGAUACCCUGUUAGUCCCAGCCGUAAACGUUGUGGACUAGGUGUUCUAUACCCUACUUGGGUAUGGAGUGCCGUAGCGAAGGCAUUAAGUCCACUGCCUGGGGAGUACGCCCGCAAGGGUGAAACUUAAUGGAAUUGGCGGGGGCUCACUACAAGGGGUGGAUGCUGCGGUUUAAUUGGAUACAACGCCCGAGAAUCUUACCAGGGAAGACAGCAGAGUGAUAGUCAGCCUGAAGGGCUUUCUUGACACGCUGAGAGGUCCUGUAUGGCCACCGCCAGCUCGUACUGUGAAGCAUCCUGUUAACUCAGGCAACAGGCGAGACCCAUGUCAUCAGUUGCUACUCUCUCUUUUGAGGGGGGCACUCUGAUGGGACAGCGAGAGUAAUCUCGAGGAAGGAAUGGUCAACGGUAGGUCUGUAUGAGCCGAAUUUCCUGGGCUACACGCGGCACACAAUGGUUGAGACAAUGGGUUGCUAACCCGAAAGGGGGCGCUAAUCUCCUAACCUUAACCUCAGUUCGGAUUGAGGACUGUAACCCGUCCUCAUGAAGUUGGAAUCCCCAGUAAUCGCGUGUCAUUAACGCGCGGUGAAUAAGUCCCUGAGCCU
rnacentral:rRNA from 1 species